rnacentral:rRNA from 1 species
UACGAACGGUGCAACCGUUAUUCGGAAUCACUGGGCGUAAAGGGUGCGUAGGCGGCUUGGUGGGUCUGGUGUGAAAGCCCCGGGCUCAGCCCGGGAAGGGCACUAGAAACUGCCGAGCUGGAGUGCCGGAGGGGAGAGUGGAAUUCCUGGUGUAGCGGUGAAAUGCGUAGAUAUCAGGAGGAAUACCGGUGGCGAAAGCGACUCUCUGGACGGCAACUGACGCUGAGGCACGAAAGCGUGGGGAGCAAACAGG